rnacentral:lncRNA from 1 species
AACAGAAGAGGCAGUUAAAAAAAAAUUCAGAGUCAGCUCAGAGACUGUUUGAAAACAAUUCCUGUCUCAGGAGACAGUUUUGUUUUCAUUAAUAGCCAAAUAUUCCUAAACAAAUGAAGGAAGAAUAAAGCCAGAUAAAGAUCUGGACGGGAUGCCUGGAAUUGCUGUAGCUAUCUUGUAUCCAAGAAGGAAGUAGCUUCUAAAGACAAGUGAUAGAACAAUGAGAAGAAACCUGAGUCCUCAAGGAACUUAUUGAGAUAAUUCACCAUAUCUUGCUGCAUCUACUCCAGACUGGAGUGAGAACCAGUCUUUGACAAAGGGUAGCACUUACAUAUCAAAAGAAACAGAGAACUGGCAUUGUCCUCGAAGGUGACAUUUGAAUGAAGUCCAAUGUCUGUAAAGAGGCCAUCUGCUGGAGGUAAGGACUUAUGAUUAUUGGAAAUGUUUGAAGAGUGUUA